CAUGAUGGACUAUAGGACAGGACUGCUGCUGCUCACUGUCUGCUGGGCAGGUGUUGAUGGUCAGACUCUGACAGAAUCUGAACCAGUGACUAAAAGGCCUGGAGAAUCUCACAGAUUGACCUGUACAGGCUCUGGAUUCACAUUCAGUAGCCACUGGAUGGCCUGGGUCAGACAGGCUCCUGGGAAAGGACUGGAGUGGAUCGCUUUUUUCGACACUGGUAGCACCCCGUACUACUCUGAGUCAUUUAAAGGCCGGUUCACCAUCUCCAGAGACAACAACAGACAGCAGGUGUAUCUGCAGAUGAACAGUCUGAAGGCCGAGGACACAGCAGUGUAUUACUGUGCCCGAGACACACAGUGA